CUACGGGUCGCAGCAGUCGAGAAUCUUCGGCAAUGGGCGAAAGCCUGACCGAGCGACGCCGCGUGCGGGAUGAAGGCCUUCGGGUUGUAAACCGCUGUCAGAGGGGAGGAAAUCCGGAGGGUCCACUCUUCGGUUGACCUAGCCUCAGAGGAAGUCCGGGCUAAGUUCGUGCCAGCAGCCGCGGUAAGACGAACCGGACGAACGUUAUUCGGAAUUACUGGGCUUAAAGGGUGCGUAGGCGGCGCGGUAAGUUGGGUGUGAAAUCCCUCGGCUCAACCGAGGAACUGCGCCCAAUACUGCCGUGCUCGAGGAAGACAGAGGUGAGCGGAACUCAGGGUGGAGCGGUGAAAUGCGUUGAUAUCCUGGGGAACGCCCGUGGCGAAAGCGGCUCACUGGGUCUUUUCUGACGCUGAGGCACGAAAGCUAGGGGAGCGAACGGGAUUAGAUACCCGCGUAGUC
rnacentral:rRNA from 1 species